rnacentral:lncRNA from 1 species
AUUCCCUGUCCUUCAGUGACCUUCCUUCUCUGUUUCCCUACAUCUCUCUGGAGGGAUAUCUGAUUAAUAAUGAGGAGCUGGAGAUUUCUCUGGGCCUGGGAAUGGAGCCAGUAGUUUCCUAUCCAGGGUUGUCAUUGAGAUCGUCUGGGAUCUGCAAAGGAAGAAAAUAGGAGGAAGAGCAAGAAAGUGGAGCAUCAGUGGCUGGAGUCUCCGGCAAAUUGCUGAAGAGCUUCUGUUCUUCGUUUGCUUACGUUCUGGAUCGGGUGUGGACCUUCGGCAGCGUCGUCAGAUACAAAGGGGCCAGGGACAGACUGAAGAGAAAUCCUUGUUGUCUUUCUGUUUGGAGGUAUUUUGUUGUUGUUUGCUUUUUCCAGAACUUUUGUUUCCAUUUAGGCCUUGUGGUGACCCCUAAUGAUCUCGCCCCAGUAUUCCCCUCCUUGCAUCGUUUCCUUCCCACGUUGGGUCAGGAUUUCUCUGUGUGACCAAUAGAGUACAGCAGUGUUGGUUGUAAAAGGCACUGUACUUCUACCUUGCUCUGUGUUUUGGAUGGAUCACCGAUGGAAGCUGGCUGCCAUGAUGUGAAGACUCUUGAGCAGCUCUAUGAAGACGUCUUGGUGGAGGGGGACUGAGAGCUCCAGCCAGGGACUAGGUAAAGCAGAUGCUCCAUUCCCUUCAGAUGAUUGCAGCCACGGCCAGCUCCUGAUGCAACCUCAUGGAGAGGCUCUGAGUCAGAACACCCACCCUGCAGGUAGCCUUCCUGAGUGGCGCUGGCGUGAUUUCAGGGCUGGAAGCAAGCAUAAACAAGAAAUGAGUCAGCUUUUCUCAGCCCGUGAGAAUUAUCAACACCAACAUGAUUCUGAAGGCAUCAGGGGAAGAAGAUGUAUCUCUUUAUCACGUGUUUAUCCUGCUGCUUUUCGUAUUAAUAUUGACUGUGAUAAUUACCUGCUUUCUUUCUCCCAAAUUCACAUCACGUAUUAAUAAGAAGAAAAUAUAAGUAUAUUUUUUUCCUUUUCUCAUAUAAACAUACUGAUGUAUAGAACUAUACCAUAACAUAAUGGUCUAUGAAGGAAGAGGAGCCCUGGGAAUAGAUAAAAAAGAUAAAAAGUCUAUAAAGUAAGAGACAUUGUGAAGAGAAAGAGGAAAUAAUGGCAGUCUCUGCCUUUGAAGUGAAUUGACUGCCCUGUCCUUGAGUCGAGAAUUUUGUGAUAUGAGCCAAAGUGGAAAUAUGGGCUUGGCAUGACCCUUGGGUUUUCAGAAGAUAGCAUCUGAAGCAGGCGAGGAUGCAAAUACCCUUCCUGACCUUGUAUAUAGAUAUCAUACAGCAUUUUUGGUUCCUGGUACUUCUUUAAGCAGCUUUAUCUUAAGAGUGCUUGCCUAGUAUUUCAGAUACUCUUAGAAUCGAUAGGAGAUUUCCAUUUCCACGAUGUUAUUUUGACUGCUGGGCAGCAACUAGAGAGAAGGAAGAAAAGGAAGGAAGCAGGGAGACCGUUUAGGAGGCUAUUGAAAUAAUCCAGAUGAGAGAUGACAGCGUCUUGGAAUAGAGUGGGGAUGGGUAAGAAGUCACCAAAUUCUGGGUACAUUUUUAAAGCAUAUCUAGAAGGAUUUCUUGGUGGAGUAAAUGUGGAAAAGAGAAAUGUCAAAGAUUUCUCUGAAGUUUUCAUUCUGAGCAAAGUGUGUGAUGACAUAGACUGAGGGACAAGCAGGUUUGGGUGGGGUGGUGAAAAUCAGAAGUUCAGCCUUAAUCAUGUUAGGCUCAAGAUGCCUGUUAGACGGCCGUGUAGCCAUGCCGAGUAGGUGGCUGGAUACAGGACCCGGAAUCAAGGGGAG